ensembl:lncRNA
GUCAUUAAAAAAAUCAUUUUGUGUUAGAGGAUAAAAUAAAACUGGAAAUUGAUUUAUUUGUUUAUAAUAAAAUGGUUUAAUUUUUAACUUUGGAGCCCCCUAUAGUUGAGUAAGUGGAAUUCACUGUCGUAAAUAUAGCUGUACACGUGCAUUUGUAACUGACGAAAAGCAAUACGCCCUUUCACAGAAAUUUCGCACCCACUCAACGAGCUUACAUCCUCCCAGAACAGAAGUUUGGAGGGGAGCGUGAAAGAAACAGAAGUCAGGCGAUUUAUCAGAAUGAGACAGGCAUGUAUAGCGCGGAGUUCAGCCUUCAGUCCAUCUGCAGCGCUCCUUCUGAGGUGUUACUCCCGUGUGUUAGUGAACUGCUGCUCCUCAAGUGGCUCCGCUGGAGGGUUCUGGCCCCGAUGACUCAUGCCAUCUGUUAACAGCUCUUGUACGAUCACAUUUCUGUGUUCCGUCCAAUAAACAGAAAGCUCCAGUGAUUUUGCAGCGUUGUUUUGACGAUCCAGAGAAACACUCAGAAGAACCUACAGAAAGAGUACUACCACCAAUGUCCAAAACAUUACAAAGGACUCGUAUCUGAACACUCUGCAUCUCAAGUCCAAUGCUGCACCAGAUUAAUUUACAAACAAGGCACAAUUCGACGUGGGAUUUUCAGAAAGACUAUAUUGGAUCCAACAGUAAUGUCAAGUGUGAGUAACUGUUUUUAUUAUGUGGUCACUAUUGCUUUGUCUCUUCUUACAGAUCGCUUGAUAUGUACUGAGUAUUUAUGCGUUCAAACAUACACAACUGUUAGCCAAUCAUAGCAGUAGGUGUUUACAGUACUUCCGAGUCUACAAUCUGUCAUGCCUAUUCAAAUGAAGCGUUCUGAUGAGGGGGUUAAAAACAGGACAGAAUAUAGCCUAUUUCUUCUAAAUUAUUAUUAUUAUUAUUAUUAUUAUUAUUAUUAUUAUUAUUAUUAUUCAUGUAAAAAUCUUGUUAACAUUAUAAGGGGACCUCAGAGGACAGUACAAAAUAAUAAAAAAGGUGGUUCAUGACCCCUUUAAGCAAUGUAUUUCAUUUAUUUUUUUCACCGCUAUUUUAAAGUAAUAUCAAAAAGAUACCUCAGCAAAUUCACUCAAGCAGAAUUCUUGAGCAUCAGCACAAUUGAAAGUGUCAUUUUUUAAAAUGAUUUCUGUCAAAUCUCAGAGAGUUUAGCAUGGUAAUAAACAUGUCAAUGUUAAAUGUGU